rnacentral:rRNA from 1 species
CCUACGGGAGGCAGCAGUGGGGAAUUUUGGACAAUGGGCGGAAGCCUGAUCCAGCCAUGCCGCGUGAGUGAAGAAGGCCUUCGGGUUGUAAAGCUCUUUCGGCGGGGAAGAAAUUGCUUGGGUUAAUACCCUGAGUAGAUGACGGUACCCGAAUAAGAAGCACCGGCUAACUACGUGCCAGCAGCCGCGGUAAUACGUAGGGUGCGAGCGUUAAUCGGAAUUACUGGGCGUAAAGCGUGCGCAGGCGGUUUUGUAAGUCAGAUGUGAAAUCCCCGGGCUCAACCUGGGAACUGCAUUUGAGACUGCAAGACUGGAGUUUGGCAGAGGGGGGUGGAAUUCCACGUGUAGCAGUGAAAUGCGUAGAGAUGUGGAGGAACACCGAUGGCGAAGGCAGCCCCCUGGGCCAAUACUGACGCUCAUGCACGAAAGCGUGGGGAGCAAACAGGAUUAGAUACCCUGGUAGUCCACGCCCUAAACGAUGUCAACUAGGUGUUGGGAGGGUUAAACCUUUUAGUGCCGUAGCUAACGCGUGAAGUGACCGCCCUGG